AUGGAGGAGCAGCAGGUCGUGGACGCCAUGAAGGACCAGGCCGCCCUCUCGAUGCGCCUCCUCCGUGGCCUCGGCCUCCGCGGCGAGCAAAACCUCGCCUUCUCGCCGGCGUCUUUCCACGCCAUCCUGUCCCUCCUCGCGGCUGGUACCACCGGUGCCAUUCGGGACCAGAUCGUCUCCUUCCUGGGCCCCGCCGGCGCUGAAGCGCAUGCUGCCCUCGUGUCCCACUUUGGCCAAACACCGAGCCACCAGGAAGAGGACGAGGAAGGACAUCCCAUGGUCCGGUGCGCCACUGGGGUGUGGGUCGACUCCUCUCUCCACCUCAAGCCCACCUUCGCGACCAUGGCGGCAUCCAGGUUCAACGCGGAGGCGCGAGCCGUCUGCUUUGGGUCAAACCCCGAGCAGGCCAGGUCCGAGAUCAACGAGUGGUUCGAGGGCGAGACAGGCGGCCGGUGGAAGGAGCUUGUACCUGAGGGUUCCAUCAACGCCGCCACGGUCGUCGUCCUCGCCAACGCGCUCUAUUUCAGAGGCUACUGGUACGACCCCUUCGACCCUGAGCUCACACAAGACGGCGACUUCUACGUCUCGCCCGGGCACGCCGUUCGCACGCCCUUCAUGGUGGGGGGCUACCUGCACGAGAACAUGUGCAUCGCCUGCCACCCCGGCUUCAAAGUCCUGUGGAUGCCCUACUGCGGCCACUACCAGGACUGUCGCUCCUCCAUGUGCAUCUACCUUCCUGACGAUCGCGGCGGGCUGCCGGAGUUGGUGCGCGCGCUCAGCUCUGACCCAUCCGUGCUAUUCGCCGUGCCGGAGAAACUGGUCCCCACGGCCGAGCUGAGGAUCCCCAAGUUCGACGUGUCGCAACGGCUCGAGGCCUCGCACCUCCUCCGUGAUCUCGGGCUGGACCUGCCGUUCCGUCUCAAUCCAGCCGGUCAGUCCUUCUCGGAGAUGCUGGCCUUGGACGAGCACGAUUCCAAGAUGCCGAUGGCGGUGUCGUCCGUCGUCCACCAGUGCUCUGUCAACAUCAACGAGCAAGGUACCGUGGCCGCCGCAGCCACCGACAUGGAGAUUCUGGGGUGUUGCCUGCCAUCGGAGAAGGUCGUAGACUUCGUCGCCGAUCACCCAUUCCUUUUUUUCAUCAUCAAAGAGGAGGACAACAAUGGCGUAAUUCUUUUCGCCGGCCAAGUUGUCAAUCCUCUCUCUUAG
rnacentral:rRNA from 1 species